AACGAACGCUGGCGGCAUGCCUAGCACAUGCAAGUCGAACGAGACCUUCGGGUCUAGUGGCGCACGGGUGCGUAACGCGUGGGAACCUGCCCUUAGGUUCGGAAUAACUCCCCGAAAGGGGUGCUAAUACCGGAUAAUGUCUUCGGACCAAAGAUUUAUCGCCUUUGGAUGGGCCCGCGUUGGAUUAGCUAGUUGGUAGGGUAAAAGCCUACCAAGGCGACGAUCCAUAGCUGGUCUGAGAGGAUGAUCAGCCACACUGGGACUGAGACACGGCCCAGACUCCUACGGGAGGCAGGAGUGGGGAAUAUUGGACAAUGGGCGAAAGCCUGAUCCAGCAAUGCCGCGUGAGUGAUGAAGGCCUGAGGGUUGUAAAGCUCUUUUACCCGGGAGGAUAAUGACAGUACCGGGAGAAUAAGCUCCGGCUAACUCCGUG
rnacentral:rRNA from 1 species